rnacentral:lncRNA from 1 species
GUUAUGGAUGCGGCUGGUCUUGAAUUUAACUAAAAUAUAGAGGAUGAUCCAGAAGUUGACAGCAGUGAUUUCUAUCAUAUGCUAAAAAAUACUAAUAAACCACUAUGAUCAGGAUGUGAAACACAUAUUGUACUAUCAACUGUGUUAGAGUUAUUGAAUUUGAAGGUCGAGUUUGAUAUGAUGAUCAAUUAUUAUGAUAGGAUGGUAGCAAUAA